rnacentral:antisense_RNA from 1 species
GGUGGGAGCGGGCUUGCUCGCGAUGCAGACACUGCGGUCUGUCAUGUAAACCGAGGUGAUGCCAUCGCGAGCAAGCCCGCUCCCACA